UAAAUUAAGUGAUACAGUAAAACCUUGGAUUGCAAGUAACUUGUUCUGUGAGUGUUCCACAAGACGAACAAACAUGUCUAAUAAAUUUUAACUUGAUAAAUGAGUGAUAUCUUGCAAUACGAGUAGUAUGUGACGCCGACAGUCACAUGAUCACAACUGAGCCAAUGGUUCUUCUCUCUCUCUCUCUCUCUCUCUCUCUCUCCCUCCUGCUGAGGGAUUGUGGGUGAUUGUCAAUGCAAUGUCACAUUUCUGUGAAAUCCUCAAAAGGAGGCAAAAGCAAGUGUCAUUGGAUAGGUUCCUUGUUAAAGUUGCAUGAAAAGAGAAAGAUUCCAUUGAGCCAAUAGAUAGCAGUGAUUCCGUUAAUGAUAGUGAAAGUCGUCCUACAUAAUAACCCUCUUCUCUCGUCUCCCUCACACCAGCCACGAAGGUUUUCAAAGGAAAUAUGACUCGAAAAUAUCUUAGAGUGCCAUGAAAGCUGAAGGACAAAGCUAAAAUCCACCUAAGAGCACACCAAACAGGAUCAACAAGAAUCGAAGAUGCCUGUCCUGUUUCAAAAGCAAGGGGAGGAGCCCAAGGCAGAUCUGUUAUCAUUUGUCUUUCCUCCUCAUUACAAGAAAAGAAAAAGAAAAGGAGAAAAGUUGGAAAGCGGCUCAGUAAAAGAAAGAAAGGACUGACCACCCCUUCCGAUAGCAGGAACUGAAAGUUGUCUGUUACCUGUAACCCUUCGGUUUAUGGUAAGACAAUAACCCAGGCCCUGUGGCUUCUGCUUUACUGCGAUUGUUCCAUCUUUUCCCUUAGUGAAAAAUUCUCUUUGAGUAAGUUCUCUUCAAUGACUCAGGCCCUCUAGAUAUGGUAAUAGUUUCCUCCCCUAGGGAAAAUUUUGAAUACAAAAGCCAGAGUCUUCCUUCUUUGAGCCAAACUCCCCUCUAGAAAUGAGGCAGAACAUCACAGAAAGAAAGCUCCUGUGGCCUGCUGAGGAUGCGGGGCACAGCCCCACAGCUCCAAUCAGCCAGUGACCUUUCACAAGAAGACAAACACACAGAGAAGCACCGCCACAUUGGUGCCAGCGUUACACAAGCACAGCAGGUGCAUCCACGCCCUUCUGGUGCCACAGCCUGAGGUGGACACACCCAGCCUCUCCCACUCAUGGGGCCACCCGGGCUUGUCUGAAUUCAAAUCAGUAGAAGCUCAUUGCCAUGGGGAUAUAGGUGAGAUCUAGGUUUGAUGCCAAUCAACAUAUGCAUGAUUGCCCAACAAGGAAAAUAAAGAAGUAAAGCAAACAUAGGCACCCAUAUCUAUACAAUUCUUUUAAAAAGGACUUGAAGUACAAAAGCUAAAACCAAGAGAGAAUGGUAUUAGCUCAGUAAGUAUGAAAUAGCACCAACACUCUCUAAAACAAUUUUCUAAUCGCAGCAGAACAAUCUUCAAUGAUGAACCAGCAAAACACAGUUUCCACUGCCUUCAAUAGCACUUUUUGGUUUACUAUAAAUACAUUAGUUAGACUACACGACCAGCCAAAAAACCUACAAGAAAUUAAAAUAAUAGUGUUGUAAUGAUGAUGAUAAUAACUACAGUUACCAUUUAUUAAACACUUAUUAGGUGCCAGUGUGCUAUAUUUUAGCUACAUAGCUUAAUCUUUGUAACAGUCUUAGAAGUAGAUUUUAUUAUCCCUAUACAGAUAAUGAAACUCUAUCACAUCUAAAAUAAAUAUCUUUUCCCAAAAUACCCAGCUAAAGUGAAAGUGCCAUAAUCAAACUCCAGUUGAAUUUUUUUCACUAUACCAGGGGUCAGCAGACUAUGACCCUUGUGUCAUAUCCGUCUUGCUGCUUGCUUUGGUAAAUAAAGUUGCAUGGAAUUCAGACAUUCUCUUCCA